GUAUCCCCAACACAUGCCUCCCGUUGAAACUACAACUAGGGGUGAAGGGUUUUGGAAAGGAUGUGUUGCUGCCUUGUGCUGUUGCUGGGUCUUGGAUUUUUGCUGUUGCUGAUAGCCUGCAGACAGUAUUAUGCUCCCAUCAAUUUAGAAUGUGACCCGUCCUGUGUAAUCUAAAAUCUUGAAAAGGUUUACACAAUUUGAUAGAUUCGUACUUUAUUACUAUAUUUCUGUGAUGCGGUAACAAUCACUAUAUAUUGUAUUGCCAAGGAGCUUAAAAAAUUCAUCGUUUUAUAUCAAACACCAUCUUAAAAGAACUCAA